GUGGCAGCCAAGCGUUCA
rnacentral:snRNA from 1 species